rnacentral:rRNA from 1 species
GAGGAAAAGAAACUAACAAGGAUUCCCCUAGUAACGGCGAGUGAAGCGGGAAGAGCUCAAAUUUAAAAUCUGGUAGUCUUUGGCUGCCCGAGUUGUAUUCUAGAGAAGUGUUUUCCGCUCUGGACCGUGUACAAGUCUCUUGGAACAGAGCGUCAUAGAGGGUGAGAAUCCCGUCUUUGACACGGACUACCAGUGCUUUGUGAUGCACUUUCAAAGAGUCGAGUUGUUUGGGAAUGCAGCUCAAAAUGGGUGGUAAAUUCCAUCUAAAGCUAAAUAUUGGCGAGAGACCGAUAGCGAACAAGUACCGUGAGGGAAAGAUGAAAAGCACUUUGGAAAGAGAGUUAAACAGUACGUGAAAUUGCUGAAAGGGAAACGAUUGAAGUCAGUCGCGUUAGCUAGAACUCAGCCUUGCUUUUGCUUGGUGCAUUUUCUAGUCGACGGGCCAGCAUCAGUUUUCAUCGCGGGAUAAAGGUCAGAGGAAUGUGGCACCUUCGGGUGUGUUAUAGCCUCUGAUUGUAUACCGUGGUGGGGACUGAGGAUCUCAGCACGCCUUCAUGGCCGGGGUUCGCCCACGUUCGUGCUUAGGAUGCUGGCGUAAUGGCUUUAAACGACCCGUCUUGAAACACGGACCAAGGAGUCUAACAUACCUGCGAGUAUUUGGGUGGUAAACCCGAGUGCGUAAUGAAAGUGAUAGUUGGGAUCUCUGUCGUGGAGAGCACCGACGCCCGGAUCAGACCUUCUGUGACGAUUCCGCGGUAGAGCAUGUAUGCUGGGACCCGAAAGAUGGUGAACUAUGCCUGAAUAGGGUGAAGCCAGAGGAAACUCUGGUGGAGGCUCGUAGCGAUUCUGACGUGCAAAUCGAUCGUCAAAUUUGGGUAUAGGGGCGAAAGACUAAUCGAACCAUCAGUAGCUGGUUCCUGC